CAACAAAACAGGAAGUAAACUGUUGCCAUGGAGACGGCCAGAUAGCUGAGGUCUAGCUUAAAGCUAGCUUAAUUUUGAACCCCAUCUCUGUGUAAAUUUAGGCAUUCUGUCAACAAUAAGAACACGCCGAAUUGACUACGCACAGCUCCGGUUUUCACGGUACCCAUGACUGUGACGAAAACUAUCACUGGGUUAGUUUCAUACUCAAAAUAAUUAAAAGCGUGAUUAUUCUCAGGCGAGUUCAAGAGUAAGAAUCCAGCUAGGUUUUAGCCUGUAAACGUUGAUAUAAUAAUAACAAUCAUGUCGUUUUAAGGCCAAACUGAAUCUAAAAUGUGACUGUCGUGGCCGUGUGUUAAAUUCAACUUGGAGAAUGAGUGUGAAUUGUGCGGCAAAUGCGGCAAUAUGGCGCCAUCAAUGGGUCUGGGGUUUUUAAGUUGGCCGUACCUGAAUUCCCUCCGUGAGCUGUGUUUCACGUCCACCGGUGCUGCUUCACCUGCUGACUGUGUGGAUUCACAUUAGCCAGCUGAUCUGAAGAUGCCUGCGAGGGUGAACAGUGAAAGUGAGUGACGGGACCUGUCACCGAGGCCUCGUCAGUCAGCCCUGCUGGCAGCGGGACAACAGACAGAGCAGGUGCAAAGGAGAGAUAGCUCACAUACCAACAUGCCACGGAGCAGCACAAAGCAGCCUGUUGUCAGAAUCUGGUUCGUCGUUGGAUAAGCCGCUGUCCUCCUGCACCUCCAGCGCUUCGAUUGUUGCCUCCAGAUACAUGAGACACGCUCUCUCCUCUGCAGAUAGGUGCUCCAUACUGUCAUCACUCUGCACACAAAAUCGGAGACUGUGAGAACGUGUGACAGACGUGAAACUCUUCCACUACCUCUGUCCUCCAUUCAACCCUAAACAUGGCCAUGAGAGACAGGACAGGAGCGACAGGUCAAAGUCAUUAAGUGUUCGAACUGCUGCAAAAGAAAUGACUAAUUACACCAAUCCUGUCCUGUUCUGGAUGAUCUUUCAUUCUAUAUUGGCCUGUCAGAAGAAACUGUCUCAGGUGGCUGCAGGUGCCUGUGAACAGCUUGAGAUCCCCUCUGUUCAUCUCUGAAGAAACUCACAAUAAAACCCCCCUUGAAGGCUUCUCUCUGACCAACACGCCUCAAACAGA